CAUCCCCAGGUGACUUAACACACCACAUCUGCACAGGGCAAAAGACAUACAGACACACACACACACACACACACACACACACACACACACACACACACACACACAUACACACACACACACACACACACACACACACACACACACAGUACAAUGGCAUUUCCAUUUAAAAUUAAGAAUAAUUUGCUUUUGUGCCAAUGGAAAGGUCAUUACAAUAUAGCCAACUACAGCCGCCAAUGCAGACCAGAAUUGAUUUUCCUCAAUGAGCAGUGGGAGGUCAUUUUUAGCAGGGCUGUGUUAAGGACAUGGAGGCUGUGUUAGCAGACUCUUACUUCCUCUCUCUUUUAAUAACCAGCUGAUUUACUAGCAGAAGGACACACCUGUAAUAGUAGAUCUCCCAUCUAAUCUAAUCUUUAAUAUUGUAAUGGAUUGGUUUGUGAAUCCACCUUUAAAUCCUCAUAUAUACACAAAUACAAAGCUACACAGACCCACACUAACUCUGUCUCUCUCACUCACAAUUCCACAUGCACCAAAAAUAGGCGACACACACACACACACACACACACACACACACACACACAUUCUCUUCCACCUCCCUCAAGGUCUGUUAGUACAAAUAAUGAAUAAUCAAUAUGCACUCAAGUCAUAGUUGAGAAUAUGAUUGCAACAUGUGAUUUAUUCCCCUGGCGGUCUGCUCCUGUUUAGCACUUUCCCGGUAGUCAAUGACCGGUCCAGCCAGCUAAAGACUGCUGAUGAUGAUUGAUCAGAUGGAAUAAUGGAACUCUGAUUUCCCUCUUGACUUUCCUUGUUUUUUUUGUGGCUGUGAUGUUCCUGGGUUCCAGCCGUGCUAGCCGUGCUAGCCGUGCCCAUUGCACAGGCCAUUGCCUUAGGUCUGUUUAGUAUGUGUGUGGUUCCAGAGAGUGAGAAGGUGAGAGAGUGGCCGAGAGACACAGAGAAAGAGAGAGUGAGAAGGUGAGAGAGUGGCCGAGAGACACAGAGAAAGAGAGAGUGACACAGAGAAAGAGAGAGUGACCGUGAGACACAGAGAAAGAGAGAGUGACACAGAGAAAGAGAGAGUGACCGUGAGACACAGAGAAAGAGAGAGUGUGAAGGUGAGAGAGUGGCCGAGAGACACAGAGAAAGAGAGAGUGACACAGAGAAAGAGAGAGUGACCGUGAGACACAGAGAAAGAGAGAGUUAGAAGG
ensembl:lncRNA